CAUGAAACUGCUCACAACAAGGUCUGGGGAGCACCACAGGUAAGAGGAAAAAUAUGUAUUUUUGAUUUUGGGGUGAACUGUCCCUUUAAACAUUGUUAAGCUUUACAUAGAUGCUGUGAUUCACAGGGAGGAUGUAAUCAGUGAUGUAGAGGUGUCACUGCAGUCCUUUUCUCCUCAGAGUAGAUUGAUCUCUGGUGUGGCUGUGGCUGUGCAAUGCUGUGUGAACACAGUGAGACAAUGGGUCCAGGUUAUUGUUCCUGGUCUAAUGAGGUCAUGUCCCACUGGAACCUGGACAUCCUCUAUUUCCCAGGGACCAGGCUAUCAUGAGGUGUCCAGCUCUGCUAUUGAUUUCCUGGGCUUUAAUCCCUGUUUGGACUGUUACCUAUUGCUGCACUGAUUGGUGUGUGCAAGUAAGGGGUUGACCAAAGGGCUAAAAUAUCUAUAUUUUAAUGAUGAUGACAGUAUGUCUCUAUUUAUGUAUUAUCUGUGAAAUGAAUGGAUUUAGAAAAUGAGUUAAUACGCAGCAAAAUGUGCCAAGAAUUUGGUGAGCAUUCCUGUGGAAGCCCAUUAUUCAUGUUAAAUGAUGAUUUGACCUAUCAAUAGGUCCUGCAAUGGGUAUCGCGCUGUGCCGUCAUAAGUCUACUGGGCCCCGUGACGGGUGACGCCAUUCUCUAGCCCUGACCUAACUUACCUUUAAACUGCUUUUAACUGCUACUCUCAGCCAAGCAAAGAGCAGAAACUCGGUGGCUUCACCCAGCCUUAUAUCUACAUUGUAUCUGCUCAGGCUAAACUACCGUGGCUGGUUCCACUGUCUUGAUAGGCAGUAUCAUCUUAAUGCAGUGGCCCACUCAGUUGUCCAACCACCAUCACUGUUUAUCUAGUUCCACUAGUCUUACUAAUAGCCACUAGUUAGCACAUUUUCAUGAAUUAUGUCCCUUGACCUGUUUCAGCAAAGAAAAGAACAUAGUUCCAAUAUGAAUUUGUGUGUGAGUGUAAAAGUUCAGUGAGCCAUCAGGUGCGUACCUUCUCACUACCUGCUGUUGGGUUGAGUUGGGCCCAGAACACAGAGACGGCUCAGCAGAACUAGACCCCUUUUUACCUGCACCCACACACUUAGCACAGCCCUCUGUAGCAAGUUCAACAUCAUCAGCUAACAGCAUGCUAGCCAACAACAACUAGCUAACAACAUGUCAAGCGAUCAUGUUGCUAUCACUGUCAUUAUGCUGCUCAACCCACCAACCAACAACCAAAUAAUCAUCCUCAGCUACCUCAUCUUAGCAAGCAACAAAGCAUACACUCCUAAGUAUACACUCCAAAGCAUAUGUCUACCACAUCACGUUAAUCUAACUAGAAUGCUAACGACAUGUUAAGCUAACUAGCAUGCUGCCUGAGCCACCAUAAAACCAAACAAUCCUCUUCAGCUACCUCACCUUAGCAACAAACAAAGCAUACACUUCUUCACAUACACUAUUUGCCAACAACAUGCUACCUAACAACACGUUACGCUAUCUAGCAUGCUGCCAUCUAGCCUGCUGAGUAUAAUAAUUGAGACUAACCAGCCAUAUAAAUAUAAAACACCUGGAUUCACAUAAAGAGAAGAAAUGUCUCCUGUCCUUUGCACCUUGUCUUCUAAUCCAAUAAAUAAACAAGAGAUCAGAAUGUCAGCUUAUAUUUCCUGAUAUUUAAUGCAUAUAUGUUUUACAGUUUGAGAACAUAGCACCUUUUGUUUCAGCCACCCCCAUUUUUAGCUGAACAAAAGUAUUGGAAUAGAUUAAUUUAAAGUACAUUAAAGUAAAUAAUACUUCAUGUUUGGUUGCAUAUUCCUUGCAUGCAAUAACUGCAUCGAGCCUGCGACCCACUGGCAUCACCAAACCUUUGGUUUGUUCUUCUGAGAUGCUGUUCCAGGCUUUUACUGCAGCUUCUUUCAGUUGCUAUUUGUUUUUUUUGGGGGGGGGGGUUCUCCCCUUCACUCUCCUCUUCAGCAAGUGAAAUGCAUUCUCAAUAGAAUUUAAGUCAGGAGACUGACUUGGCGAGUCUAAAACCUUCCACUUCUUCCCCUGAUGAACUCCUUGGUUGCGUUGGCAGUAUGCUUUGGGUUGUCGUCUUGCUGCAAGGUGAAGUGCCUACCUUCUUUGUACAUAGGCAGACAGAAUGUUUCGGUACUGAAUUCAUUCUGCUGCUGACAUAAUGAGUCAACAUCAUCAACAAAGAUGAGCGAGCCACUUCCAGAAGCAGCCAUGCAAGCACUAGCCAUGCCAUUACCUCCACCAUGCUUCACUUAUGAGCUUGUAUGCUUUGGAUCAUAUGCAGAUCCUUCCUUUCCAUCACUUUGUUAAAGGUUUAUCUUGGUCUCAUCUGUCCAUUAAAUUUGUUCCAUUACUAUUUCUGGCUCAUCUCCGUACAUCUUUGAAAAUUCUAAUCUGGCCUUCCCAUUCUUGCUGAUGAUGAGAGAUUUGCAUCUUCUGGUGUAGCCUCUGUAAUUCUGCUCUCAAAGUCUUCUGCGAAUGGUAGACUAUGAUACUUUCAUCCCCGCCUUCUGCAGGUAUUUAGUGAUGUCACUGACAGUUGUUUUAGGGUUUUUCUUCACAGCUCUUACGAUGUUUCUGUCGUCAACUGCUGUUGCUUUCCUUGGCCGACCUGUCUGUUGUCUGUUGCUAAAAACACCAGUGGUUUCUUUCUUUUUUAAGACUUUCCAAAUUGUUACAUUUUCUAUUCCCAAUUUUUGUGCAGUGGUUCUAAUUGAAUUCUUCUUUUCUCAUCUUCCAAAUUGCUUGCUUUUCUCCCAUAUACAGUUCUCUGGUCUUCAUGUUGGUGUAUUCUUUCUGACUACAAAACCAAGGCUAAAACCAAGACUACACAUUCACAGCUUUUUUAUGUUUGAACAAUCAAUGCAACAGGAAGCACCUAGGCAACAAGACACACUUGUCACAUGUUCAGGGAACAUUUGCUCACCUAAAAAUGGGGGUGGCUGAAACAAAAGGUGCUAUGUUCUGAAAUUGUAAAACAUGUAAUUACCAGGAAAUAAAAGCUGACAUUCUGAUCUCUUGUUUCAUCUUAAUCUUUUGAUCUCAAAUUCAAAUGUCUUUAGUGUAUAGCAAAAAUAAAAAACGUGACCAUGCUGUUCUCAUACUUUUUGAGGGCACUGUACUGAUCCACACAUCCUCCCACACUGUUUUAAAACACUGUUUUUGUCUCUUAAUUGUGAAGCCACACAUUCAUAACAGGAAAACAGCUAAAUAUCAUCUCCCUCCUCUUUCAGUCCGCAAACAAGAAAACUGUUGAUGACAGCCGACAUCUGGUCAGCAGUCGUACAGACAGUCUGGUUCCUCCGCUGAGUCUCACCUCUGUUCAGUCCCCUCCUGCUCUCUGUGAUCACCUAUACUGUGUUUUAAUACAGCUGAACUCAAGAUUAAUUGUUCUCAUUUCAACUUUUUAACAUUGUAACUCCUGCAUUGCUUUGCUGAGAUAUUUAUUAAAUUACUAUUUCAUGAUCGCAAAGUCAUCCAACUGAAUAUCUGAAUAUCAUAAACAUUAAUAUCCUAAGUCCAAAUUAAUGACAACACUUCUGUGAUCUGUGAUCACAGAGAGGGUUAGAGGUGAAAGAAAGUUGUCUCUUCAACGUUACUCCAUCCCAGCCUCCGACCAGACUUGUGUUAUAAUUUAAAAGAUCUCUUUCAGAUUAAUCCACUGUGGAUAGCUGCGGGUUUUGGUGAGAAAAACGCCAGCUUAGAGUGGACAGGAGCCCAAAACUGAGAGGAAAAGAUGUGUUUUCAAAUUUAGACGUGGUGUGUACGUAGUCUCGGUGCUUUCACAGCAAAUUUUCCGGUGUUACAUGGUGUCGUUUUUUUUUUUGCAUCUGAGUUGACUGGUGUCAAAAGGGCCGUUGUUUCUUUACUGAAGUAGUUGAUUGGACUCGGAUUGGCGUGUGUUUUAAGCAAGUUUGCUCAGCUGCACUUUGUCAGGGACAAUGCAAAUAAAACAUUGUAACAGCUUACAAUAACAUGACACAGAUGUGUUGCAUAUAGGAUUUCGACCCAUGUGCCUGGUUAGGCUUUUCUUGUUCACAGUUAAUUGAACAUCCGGUUGCUCCACUCUGGAUUGUAGCAGCUGCAACGCAGUUCCGGUUCUGACGUUGUAAGGUAAGACCUUUUUCUUUUUCACUAGUGCCUACGUGAUAUUAACUGAUGGAAAAUGGACAGGGAAAUAUUAAAAACUGGCGCUGCAUGAUCAGUAGGCCUAUGUGAAUCUCACAAUGGUAAAUGUUAGCUAACAUUAGCUGACCAAAGAAACGGUUAUUCACUUGCUAGUGAGAUUAGAAUGAUAAAAUACGCCAUGUUUCACACUUAAGGAACACGUGAGAAGAAGCAGAGAGUCAUUAAUAUAUUCUUCUAUUAGAUUGAUAGUCGAAGGUUAACUUUAAAUGAGCUGAUGCGCACACAUGCAGGAGUUAACUCGUGGUCGGUCCAGUCUUAUUUUAAAUCGAUAACCUCUCGAAAUAAAUGAGCUAAAUCACAAGCAGCAAUAGUUAUUGUGUAAGAACAAGUACAAGUUAUGUCAGUUUAAAUCUUAGUAUAGCUGAAUGUGGCUGAAACAGUUAGCUGGUAAGCUAAGCUAACGAUAACAAGUAGCUAGCAGGCACACUGCAGCAGGAAAGAAGCUCUGGUCAGGUGUUGACUUGUGGCGGGACUUUUACUUUGGUCAACUCUCAUAGAGUAGUUCACCAGCAGAGAUACGCUAGAACUACGACAGCAGGUUAAUGUUAAUAUAGCUGACUGACGAGUGAUUUAACGGAAGUAGCAGUGGCUAGCUAACGUCAAGAUAACAUGCAGCACUGCUGCCUGAUCGGAAAAGGAACUCCAGCACGGUGUUAAUUUGUGACGGGACAUGGCCUGUUUUACUUCGGUCUACUCUCAAGUAUGAUGAUAGUCAAUAAAUUAAAUUGCUUCACCUGUUCUCAAUCCAGACAAGACGGCUACACAUUACUAUAAAAUCUGGUUACAGAACAAUUCUGACCUAAAAAAAGAUAACUAAGGAUUGCCAUAGUCUUCUUAAUUACUUAAACUGCUGAAUGAAACAUUUUUAUUCUUUGUCCCUCUAUUCCAGAGUUGAUAAAAUGGAGAUGGAAGCAUGAUGGUGAGGGGGGCAGUACAAAGAUUGUAAGAAAUACAUCAGACCUCAGUGUGGAUUCUCAUACUCGGAUUUCAUCACUGAAGUCAAAUGCAAAUUUGGACUCUCUGAUGGGGCUCAACUUUCUGUUUUUGAUGAGUCUGGCACUGCAGUGGAAGAUGACAUACUUCUUGAGCUGGUUGAUGCCAAUCCUGACUUGCCUAACAGUUUGAGACAAGGAUCAAGGUGGCAUGCCUUAUUAUCCAUUUGAAAUAAGCCAUUCAAGUUCUAGUUCCCUCACAGACACCAUGUACCGCUCUUCGACCGUAGGAGAAAGUUGCAUAGAAUGGGGAACUCCAUCAAUGGAGAAGGGCCAGAUCCUGGAACAAGCAGUUCCGAGUCAGAGGCUGCAAAAGAGAUAUUAACAGUUUGUGCUCUAUUGCUGAUUUUGCACUGACACUGAAGUUGACAUUUCCAUAAUGUUGUGACCCAGUGUAUGGAAAUAUAUAUGAGGAAGAAACAAUCUCAGUACUUACUUCUGUGACUAGGUGGUCAGAGAUGUUUUGCUGACGAAAGCAGGAGGUCAAGAUGUCUUGGACGAGUACAAAGCAAACGGUUUUCUGGAGCACAGCACCAGAAGACAGCUCUGCUAUAUAUAUAUAUAUAUAUAUAUAUAUAUAUAUAUAUAUAUAUAUAUAUAUAUAUAUAUAUAUAUAUAUAUAUAUAUAUAUAUGACUGUACGUUAGCCAUAAGGAAGGUGGUCGUGGACUAGUGAGUGUGAGAGCCACUAUCCAGGAUGAAACAUCCAAGAUCCACAAAUACAUCAAAGAUAGCCCCAACAGAUGACGUGCUCAGGGAAUGUCUCAGGCAAUGGGGAACAGAGGAAGAGGUGCUGGAGGACGGACCAUCAUGGGCGGACAAAUCCCUACAUGGGAUGUACCACCGAACAUAACUGAAGUGGCUGAUAUCAAGAAAUCCUACCAAUGGCUAGAGCAGGCUGGACUGAAGGACAGCACAGAGGCACUCAUCAUGGCUGCACAGGAGCAG